CGGAUCCGCGCCGCUGCAGAGUUUGAUCCUGGCUCAGGAUGAACGCUGGCGGCGUGCCUAACACAUGCAAGUCGAGCGAGAAAUUGCAGAUUGAAACUUCGGUCGAAAGAAGCGAUGGACAGCGGCGGACGGGUGAGUAACGCGUAGGUAACCUACCUUAAGCUGAGGGAUAGCCUAGGGAAACCUGGAUUAAUACCACAUAACGCGGAGGGGUCACAUGGCCUUUCCGCCAAAGAUUUAUCGGCCUAAGAUGGACCUGCGUCUGAUUAGAUAGUUGGUGAGGUAACGGCCCACCAAGUCGACGAUCAGUAGCCGAUCUGAGAGGAUAAUCGGCCACAUUGGAACUGAGACACGGUCCAAACUCCUACGGGAGGCAGCAGUGGGGAAUAUUGCACAAUGGGCGCAAGCCUGAUGCAGCAACGCCGCGUGAGCGAAGAAGGUCUUCGGAUCGUAAAGCUCUGUCCUUGGGGAAGAAGAAAGUGACGGUACCCGAGGAGGAAGCCCCGGCUAACUACGUGCCAGCAGCCGCGGUAAUACGUAGGGGGCAAGCGUUAUCCGGAAUUAUUGGGCGUAAAGAGUACGUAGGUGGCAGCGUAAGCGCAAGGUGAAAGAUCGGGGCUUAACUCCGGUGAGCCUUGUGAACUGCGCAGCUUGAGUGCAGGAGGGGAAAGUGGAAUUCCUAGUGUAGCGGUGAAAUGCGUAGAUAUUAGGAGGAACACCAGUGGCGAAGGCGACUUUCUGGACUGUAACUGACACUGAGGUACGAAAGCGUGGGGAGCAAACAGGAUUAGAUACCCUGGUAGUCCACGCCGUAAACGAUGAGCACUAGGUGUUGGCGUAGAAAUACGUCGGUGCCGAAGUUAACGCAUUAAGUGCUCCGCCUGGGGAGUACGCACGCAAGUGUGAAACUCAAAGGAAUUGACGGGGACCCGCACAAGCAGCGGAGCAUGUGGUUUAAUUCGAAGCAACGCGAAGAACCUUACCAGGACUUGACAUCCUCUUGCAAGGCGGAGUAACGUCUGCCCCUCCUUCGGGACAAGAGAGACAGGUGGUGCAUGGUUGUCGUCAGCUCGUGUCGUGAGAUGUUGGGUUAAGUCCCGCAACGAGCGCAACCCUUGCCUUUAGUUGCCAGCAGUAAGAUGGGCACUCUAGAGGGACUGCCGGGGACAACUCGGAGGAAGGUGGGGAUGACGUCAAAUCAUCAUGCCCCUUAUGUUCUGGGCUACACACGUGCUACAAUGGUCGUUACAGAGAGAAGCAAAGCCGCGAGGCAGAGCAAAACUCUAAAGGCGAUCCCAGUUCGGACUGCAGGCUGCAACUCGCCUGCACGAAGUCGGAGUUGCUAGUAAUCGCGAAUCAGAACGUCGCGGUGAAUGCGUUCCCGGGUCUUGUACACACCGCCCGUCACACCAUGGAAGUUGGGGGCGCCCGAAGUUGGCUAAGAAGUUACCUAAGGCGAAACCAAUGACUGGGGUGAAGUCGUAACAAGGUAA
rnacentral:rRNA from 1 species